rnacentral:RNase_P_RNA from 1 species
ACCGCAGACUGCUCUGCCGCCUUUCGGGGAGGAAAGUCCGGACAACGCAGAGCACCGCACCGCCUAACCGGCGGAGUUCGUUUCGAUUCGUCGGAACGGGCAUAGAAAGUGUCACAGAAAAUAACUUCCCAAUGAGGUUUUGGCAGGGCAGGUUAGCCUGCCUUUGUUGAAGCUUUAGGGGGUAAAGGUGAAAACGUGUGGUAAGAGCGCACGAUUCUGUUGGGCAAUCAAUGGAAUGGACAAACCUUGCGGGUUGAAAUGCCAUGUACACCUUGUAACGGUGCUGCUCGCACCAUCUCGCCUUUGGCGGGAGCAAGGGGGGUAGGCAGCGCAGAUCCCGAGUACUCGGGACCAGAUAAAUGGCAGAGGCCGGUAGCAAUACCGGUACAGAAUCCGGCUUACAGGUCUGCGGUUUUU